UAAACACCAGCUCCUAGACCAGUCAGUACAGAUAAACACCAGCUCCUAGACCAGUCAGUACAGGUAAACACCAGCUCCUAGACCAGUCAGUACAGAUAAACACCAGCUCCUAGACCAGUCAGUACAGAUAAACACCAGCUCCUAGACCAGUCAGUACAGGUAAACACCAGCUCCUAGACCAGUCAGUACAGGUAAACAACAGCUCCUAGACCAGUCAGUGCAGAUAAACACCAGCUCCUAGACCAGUCAGUACAGAUAAACACCAGCUCCUAGACCAGUCAGUACAGAUAAACACCAGCUCCUAGACCAGUCAGUACAGGUAAACACCAGCUCCUAGACCAGUCAGUACAGGUAAACACCAGCUCCUAGACCAGUCAGUACAGGUAAACAACAGCUCCUAGACCAGUCAGUGCAGAUAAACACCAGCUCCUAGACCAGUCAGUACAGAUAAACACCAGCUCCUCCUCCACACAGCACAGGUCCCACUCUAGUGGACGUCAUGUAAAGGAGAAGAGGAAAAUGGUCGAUACAUUGUGAUCGUAAUCGUUGACCAUCUUUUACAGGUUUUAUACAUCAGACAGUAUGUGUUGGGUCUUAGGGGAGCCAGGUAGCGAUCAGAGCACUCAAAGAAAGAGGAUAUUUAAAAAUAUAUAUAUAUUGUGACAAAAAAACAUGGAUCUUUAAUCGUUGAGUUUUGAUUGUUAUAUAUUAUAAUAUAUAUGUUCUAUGUGUAUAUAUGUUCUAUGUGUAUA